UGGUUCAGUUGGUAGAGCAUGGUGUUUGCAACGCCAGGGUUGUGGGUUCAAUUCCCAC
rnacentral:tRNA from 1 species